CCUGACUCCGCGGCUCAGUACAGCCCUGGACACCACAGCAGUGGCAGGUGUGGCGUCUUCAAGUGAAAACUUCCCAGUCGCUGCCCCUUCCGAGGGCCCUGAACGGACUCAGAAGGCGACCCCGGACCGGAGGUGUGCAUGGGGAGAAGCCUGCACCUUCUUCUCUUCCGAGCUGUUCUCAUACACAGCCGUUUCGUACGCCUGCAGGUGUCAGGCGGAAGGGAUCUCGGCCCAGAGGAAGCCUUAGAGCGACUGUAUACCUUACUGUCUGACUCGGGACACUGUUGAGAGGGAAAGGGAGAAACUAAUCAUCACGCCAGGAGAUGUGGACACGGUGACCGUUCUGGGCACUCUGCGAACUGUGAGCUCUAAACUGGAGCAGGUUCGAGUGCUGGGCACGCAUUUGGUUUGUUGAUAACACAAUACUCAGGGACCUGGGGCCCAACAGGCCAAAGAGCUUGGAGAGGGUAAGGCAGGAGCAAUGAGGAUUCAAACUAACCUAAAUGAAUUCAUCUCAAGCUAUCUGUAGGAGGUGCCUCUUUGAGUCUUCUGGCAGACUAACCUCCUUUACAGCUGGAUGGAGCCUUGGGACUAGGUUCUGGACAACUGGAUAUUAACAGAAAUGAUGUGCAAUCUCUAGAUGCCAUUAAAGAAGGAGGCAGCCCUUUCUUUGCCUUUCGUCCUUUCUGCUGGCUGGAAUACAGACAUGCUGGUUGAAGCUGAAGCAGUCAUCUUGCACCAUGAAGUAAAUAUGGGAAAUGGAACUCAACCCAGAAAAGUACAAAACACAAGGAACUCCAAGAGCUAAUCUUGGAUAAGCACAGUUUGCCCACAACUGUGUGAAUCUGAAGUCGCCGAAGAGAAGAGGUGAUAGGAUGUCAUGAGUUGAGCAGCUUUUCUUCACUAUGCCCUUCCACCAUGAUGUUUCUGCCUUGAAUCCAGUCAACCAUGGACUGAUACCUCUGAAAC
rnacentral:lncRNA from 1 species